rnacentral:rRNA from 1 species
GACGAACGCUGGCGGCGCGCUUAACACAUGCAAGUCGAACGGAAAGGCCUGCUUUCCCUUGUGGAUUGCGGGUACUCGAGUGGCGAACGGGUGAGUAACACGUGAGUGAUCUGCCCCCAACUUGGGUAUAAGCCUGGGAAACUGGGUCUAAUUCCCGAUAGGACUGCAGGGUGGUGCCUGUGGUGGAAAACGAUUUUCUAGUGGUUGGGGAUGAGCUCGCGGCCUAUCAGCUUGUUGGUGGGGUAAUGGCCUACCAAGGCGGCGACGGGUAGCCGGCCUGAGAGGGUGGACGGCCACAUUGGGACUGAGAUACGGCCCAGACUCCUACGGGAGGCAGCAGUGGGGAAUAUUGCACAAUGGGCGGAAGCCUGAUGCAGCGACGCCGCGUGGGGGAUGACGGCCUUCGGGCUGUAAACUCCUUUCGACCGCGAGGAAGCCACCUGGUUGGAAGGGUGGUGACGGUAGUGGUAGAAGAAGCACCGGCUAACUACGUG